rnacentral:rRNA from 1 species
ACGUCAAGUCAUCAUGGCCCUUAUGUCCAGGGCGACACACGUGCUACAAUGGCCGGCACAGCGGGAAGCGAAGGGGCGACUCUGAGACGGAUCCCUUAAAGCCGGUCCCAGUUCGGAUUGCAGUCUGCAACUCGACUGCAUGAAGUUGGAAUCGCUAGUAAUCGUGGAUCAGCCAAGCCGCGGUGAAUACGUUCCCGGGCCUU